rnacentral:rRNA from 1 species
ACAGCAGUCGCCGCGGUAAUACGGAGGGUGCAAGCGUUAUCCGGAUUUAUUGGGUUUAAAGGGUCCGUAGGCGGAUCUGUAAGUCAGUGGUGAAAUCUCACAGCUUAACUGUGAAACUGCCAUUGAUACUGCAGGUCUUGAGUAAAUUUGAAGUGGCUGGAAUAAGUAGUGUAGCGGUGAAAUGCAUAGAUAUUACUUAGAACACCAAUUGCGAAGGCAGGUCACUAAGAUUUAACUGACGCUGAUGGACGAAAGCGUGGGGAGCGAACAGGAUUAGAUACCCCUGUAGUCCCUGUCUCUUAUAC